rnacentral:rRNA from 1 species
GAUUAACGCUGGCGGCGUGCAUAACACAUGCAAGUCGAACGAUGAAACUUAAAUGAUUUCUUCGGAAUGAACUUAAGUGGAUUAGUGGCGGACGGGUGAGUAACGCGUGAGUAACCUGCCUUACACAAGGGGAUAGCCGUUGGAAACGACGAAUAAUACCCUAUGAAACUAUCACUUCGCAUGAAGCGAUAGUCAAAGUGUUAGCGGUGUAAGAUGGACUUGCGUCUGAUUAGCUAGUUGGUGAGAAAAAAGCCCACCAAGGCAACGAUCAGUAGCCGGCUUGAGAGAGUGUACGGCCACAUUGGGACUGAGACACGACCCAGACUCCUACGGGAGGCAGCAGUGGGGAAUUUUGCACAAUGGGGGAAACCCUGAUGCAGCGACGCCGCGUGAUUUAGAAGGCCUUCGGGUUGUAAAAAUCUUUUGUAUAGGAAGAAAAUGACAGUACUAUACGAAUAAGGUCCGGCUAAUUACGUG